rnacentral:rRNA from 1 species
UGGGGAAUUUUGCACAAUGGGCGCAAGCCUGAUGCAGCGACGCCGCGUGAGGGAUGAAGGCCUUCGGGUUGUAAACCUUUUUCGCUCAUGGUCAAGCCGCAGCUUUGGGUUGUGGUGAGGGUAGUGGGUAAAGAAGCGCCGGCUAACUACGUGCCAGCAGCCGCGGUAAUACGUAGGGCGCGAGCGUUGUCCGGAAUUAUUGGGCGUAAAGGGCUUGUAGGCGGUUGGCCGCGUCUGCCGUGAAAUCCUCUGGCUUAACUGGGGGCGUGCGGUGGGUACGGGUUGACUUGAGUGCGGUAGGGGAGACUGGAAUUCCUGGUGUAGCGAUGGAAUGCGCAGAUAUCAGGAGGAACACCGGUGGCGAAGGCGGGUCUCUGGGCCGUUACUGACGCUGAGGAGCGAAAGCGUGGGGAGCGAACAGG